rnacentral:rRNA from 1 species
AUUGAACGCUGGCGGCAGGCCUAACACAUGCAAGUCGAACGGUAACAGGAAGCAGCUUGCUGCUUUGCUGACGAGUGGCGGACGGGUGAGUAAUGUCUGGGAAACUGCCCGAUGGAGGGGGAUAACUACUGGAAACGGUAGCUACUACCGCAUAACGUCGCAAGCCCAAAGAGGGGGACCUUAGGGCCUCUUGCCAUCGGAUGUGCCCAGAUGGGAUUCGCUAGUAGGUGGGGUAACGGCUCACCUAGGCGACGAUCCGUAGCUGGUCUGAGAGGAUGACCGGCCACCCUGGAGGUGAGACACGGUCCAGACUCCUACGGGAGGCAGCAGUGGGGAAUGUUGCACAAUGGGCGCAAGCCUGAUGCAGCCAUGCCGCGUGUAUGAAGGAGGCGUUCGGGUUGUAAAGUACUUUCAGCGGGGAGGAAGGGAGUAAAGUUAAUACCUUUGCUCAUUGACGUUACCCGCAGAAGAAGCACCGGCUAACUCCGUG